CCCUUAGAUGUUCUGGGCUGCACGCGCGCUACACUGAUGCGCUCAACGAGUUUACGACCUUGCCCGGAAGGGUUGGGUAAUCUUUUUAAAACGCAUCGUGAUGGGGAUAGAUUAUUGCAAUUAUUAAUCUUUAACGAGGAAUUCCUAGUAAGCACAAGUCAUCAGCUUGUGUUGAUUACGUCCCUGCCCUUUGUACACACCGCCCGUCGCUCCUACCGAUUGAAUGUUCCGGUGAGCUCUUCGGACUGCGCGGUCUGCAGUUUCUGCGUUCCGUGCGGAAAGUUGCGCAAACCUUAACAUUUAGAGGAAGGAGAAGUCGUAACA
rnacentral:rRNA from 1 species